AGGAAGCAGGUGAGCUUCUCCAUUCCUGCCUGCAAUUUAGAGGUAGAAGGCCCGGAGGCCCAGGAGCUGGUGGAGCUGUAACAUGUAAGUCACCCGGCUCAUCACGUGAAGGAAAGCUGCCCUCCAACCAGGAACACCUGCCUUGGAAUAUUAUGUCAGAGCCCCUGGGCUGGGAGCUGCAGCCCCUCCUACACAGCAACUCAGCAAGCACCACCUCAACCCCUGCUCCCUUCAUCUUCUCUGAGUCCAUAGUGGCUGAAGACAUGAGGCCGGGGAUGGGUCCUAGUCCACUUCCUCUGCUUGCUGGAGGAAUAAUCAGGUGAUGGGACAUGAAGGAGCUUAAAAGAGGGUGUGGCACAAAACAAGGCUAAGUAUAUAAUAGCUGGGUUUUGGAGGGUUUUGUUUGUUUGAAUUUAUUUUAUUUAUUUGGCUGCACCAGGUCUUAGUUGCGGCACACAGGAUCUUUUUAGUUGUGGCAUGCGGACUCUUAGUUGUGGCAUGCGGGAUCUAGUUUCCUGACCAGGGAUCGAACCUGGGCCCCCUGUAUUGAGAGUGU